rnacentral:rRNA from 1 species
UACAGAGGUCUCAAGCGUUGUUCGGAUUCAUUGGGCGUAAAGGGUGCGUAGGCGGCGCGGUAAGUCGGGUGUGAAAUCUCGGGGCUUAACUCCGAAACUGCAUUCGAUACUGCCGUGCUUGAGGACUGGAGAGGAGACUGGAAUUUACGGUGUAGCGGUGAAAUGCGUAGAUAUCAGGAGGAACACCGAUGGCGAAGGCAGGUCUCUGGGCUGACACUGACGCUCAUGCACGAAAGCGUGGGGAGCAAACAGG